rnacentral:misc_RNA from 1 species
UAAGCAUAUCAAAUCACCAUCCUGAGCAUUGGCAGCCAUCAUGGAGUGUACGAACAGCUCUGGUAGCUCUUAUUGCAUUCAUGCCUACCAAUCCAAAUGGUGCACUGGGCUCACUAGACUACAAGAAGGAAGAGAGGCGUGCUCUGGCCAUCAAAUCUCGUGAAGCUGCCCCUAGAUUUGGAACUCCUGAGCGUCAAAAACUCAUUGAUGAGAUUCA